AUGGCAGACCAUUUGAAAAAGAAGACAACCCAAGAUAUUGAACGUGGCAUAUGUUUAGUCUUUUUUAGUAGCCACAUAGUCACAAACAUUGGCCAAAGUUAGCGUUCAUAUUUGUUUUUUUGUGAUAAAAAUAAAAAAACUAAUAUUUGGCCAGUGUUUGUGACUAAGUGGCUACUAAAAAUGAGUGGAUAUACCCCGUUUGCAAUACCUUGGGUUGUCUACUUUUGCAAAUGGUAUGCCAU